UACGUAGGGACCGAGCGUUGUCCGGAAUUACUGGGCGUAAAGGGCGCGUAGGCGGAUAGUUUAGUCAGAGGUGAAAGCCCAGGGCUCAACCCUGGAAUUGCCUUUGAUACUGGCUAUCUUGAGUUCGGGAGAGGUGAGUGGAACUCCGAGUGUAGAGGUGAAAUUCGUAGAUAUUCGGAAGAACACCAGUGGCGAAGGCGACUCACUGGCCCGAUACUGACGCUGAGGCGCGAAAGCGUGGGGAGCAAACAGG
rnacentral:rRNA from 1 species